rnacentral:tRNA from 1 species
GCGCCCGUAGCUCAGUCGGAUAGAGCACCCACCUUCUAAGCGGGUUGUCGCAGGUUCGAUUCCUGCCGGGCGCGCAA